rnacentral:rRNA from 1 species
UACGGGAGGGGGCUAGCGUUGUUCGGAAUUACUGGGCGUAAAGCGCACGUAGGCGGCUUUGUAAGUUAGAGGUGAAAGCCCAGGGCUUAACCCUGGAAUUGCCUUUAAGACUGCAUCGCUAGAAUCGUGGAGAGGUAAGUGGAAUUCCGAGUGUAGAGGUGAAAUUCGUAGAUAUUCGGAAGAACACCAGUGGCGAAGGCGACUUACUGGACACGUAUUGACGCUGAGGUGCGAAAGCGUGGGGAGCAAACAGG